rnacentral:rRNA from 1 species
UCUCCUCCCAAAGCGUAACGGAGGAGCACGAAGGUUAGCUAAUCCUGGUCGGACAUCAGGAGGUUAGUGCAAUGGCAUAAGCUAGCUUGACUGCGAGCGUGACGGCGCGAGCAGGUGCGAAAGCAGGUCAUAGUGAUCCGGUGGUUCUGAAUGGAAGGGCCAUCGCUCAACGGAUAAAAGGUACUCCGGGGAUAACAGGCUGAUACCGCCCAAGAGUUCAUAUCGACGGCGGUGUUUGGCACCUCGAUGUCGGCUCAUCACAUCCUGGGGCUGAAGUAGGUCCCAAGGGUAUGGCUGUUCGCCAUUUAAAGUGGUACGCGAGCUGGGUUUAGAACGUCGUGAGACAGUUCGGUCCCUAUCUGCCGUGGGCGCUGGAGAAUUGAGGGGGGCUGCUCCUAGUACGAGAGGACCGGAGUGGACGCAUCACUGGUGUUCGGGUUGUCAUGCCAAUGGCACUGCCCGGUAGCUAAAUGCGGAAGAGAUAAGUGCUGAAAGCAUCUAAGCACGAAACUUGCCCCGAGAUGAGUUCUCCCUGAGACUAUAAGUCUCCUGAAGGAACGUUGAAGACGACGACGUUGAUAGGCCGGGUGUGUAAGCGCAGCGAUGCGUUGAGCUAACCGGUACUAAUGAACCGUGAGGCUUAACCUUACAACGCCGAAG